rnacentral:snRNA from 1 species
GGAUGUGAGGGCAAUCUGGCUGUGACAUCCAUCACCCCAUUGAUUGCUAGGGUUGAUUCAGCUGAUCUGGUUGGCUAGGUGUGUGUCCCCUUCCUCCCUACUGCUCCACAUGUGUCCCUACACUCAGUUGAAGAGGACAACCUUCCCUGAUAGAGGAGGCUUCCUCUUCAGUCAAAGAUAUAUAGUAGCUGUGCUCCCCUGCUAGAACCUCCAAACAAGCCCUUGAGGUCCAUUUGUAGGAGAACAUAGGGCAGUAAGUCAAGCUUCCAAGACUCUAGACACAUCCAAACGAGGCACUGCAUGUGGCAGUCUGCCUUUCUUU